rnacentral:rRNA from 1 species
AGUGAACGCUGGCGGUAGGCCUAACACAUGCAAGUCGAACGGCAGCACAGUAAGAGCUUGCUCUUACGGGUGGCGAGUGGCGGACGGGUGAGGAAUACAUCGGAAUCUACUUUUUCGUGGGGGAUAACGUAGGGAAACUUACGCUAAUACCGCAUACGACCUACGGGUGAAAGCAGGGGAUCUUCGGACCUUGCGCGAUUGAAUGAGCCGAUGUCGGAUUAGCUAGUUGGCGGGGUAAAGGCCCACCAAGGCGACGAUACGUAGCUGGUCUGAGAGGAUGAUCAGCCACACUGGAACUGAGACACGGUCCAGACUCCUACGGGAGGCAGCAGUGGGGAAUAUUGGACAAUGGGCGCAAGCCUGAUCCAGCCAUACCGCGUGGGUGAAGAAGGCCUUCUGGUUGUAAAGCCCUUUUGUUGGGAAAGAAAAGCAGCAGGUUAAUACCCCGCUGUUCUGACGGUACCCAAAGAAUAAGCACCGGCUAACUUCGUG